rnacentral:tRNA from 3 species
GAAUUAGUAACUUAAUUGGUAAAGGAUUUCCCUGUCACGGAAAUAGAUGUCGGUUCGACCCCGACCUAAUUCG